AAAGGCUGCGGUAUUUUGACCGUACAAAGGUAGCAUAGUCAUUAGUUUUUUAAUUGAAAACUUGUAUGAAUGGUUGAAUGAAAAAUUAACUUUUUUUUAAAAAAUAUUGAAUUUUACUUUUUAAUUAAAAGGUUAAAAUUUAUUUAAAAGACGAGAAGACCCUAUAGAGUUUUAUAAUUAAAAUUAUAUUUUUUAUAAAGAUUAUUUAAAAUUUUAUAAUUUAUAUUAUUUUGUUGGGGUGAUAGUAAAAUUUAAUUAACUUUUAUUUAUUGAAUACAUUAAUAUAUGUUUAUUUGAUCCAAUAUUAUUGAUUAAAAAAUUAAAUUACCUUAGGGAUAACAGCGUAAUUUUUUUUUAAGUUCUUAUUAAUAAAAAAUUUUGCGACCUCGAUGUUGGAUUAAGAGUUAAUUUUAGGUGCAGCAGUUUAAAAUUUAAGUCUGUUCGACUUUUAAAUUCUU
rnacentral:rRNA from 1 species